rnacentral:rRNA from 1 species
ACUCCUACGGGAGGCAGCAGUGGGGAAUAUUGCACAAUGGGCGCAAGCCUGAUGCAGCCAUGCCGCGUGUAUGAAGAAGGCCUUCGGGUUGUUAAAGUACUUUCAGCAGUGAGGAAGGUGGAGUCGUUAAUAGCGGCCUCAUUUGACGUUAGCUGCAGAAGAAGCACCGGCUAACUCCGUGCCAGCAGCCGCGGUAAUACGGAGGGUGCGAGCGUUAAUCGGAAUUACUGGGCGUAAAGCGCAUGCAGGUGGUUUGUUAAGUCAGAUGUGAAAGCCCGGGGCUCAACCUCGGAAUUGCAUUUGAAACUGGCAGACUAGAGUACUGUAGAGGGGGUAGAAUUUCAGGUGUAGCGGUGAAAUGCGUAGAGAUCUGAAGGAAUACCGGUGGCGAAGGCGGCCCCCUGGACAGAUACUGACACUCAGAUGCGAAAGCGUGGGGAGCAAACAGGAUUAGAU